GACGAACGCUGGCGGCGUGCUUAACACAUGCCAGUCGAACGGUGAAGCGCCUUCCUUUUUGGUGGGUGUGGAUGAGUGGCGAACGGGUGAGUAACACGUGAGUAACCUGCCCCCUUCUUCUGGAUAACCGCAUGAAAGUGUGGCUAAUACGGGAUAUUCUGGGUCUGUCGCAUGAUGGGUCUGGGAAAGAUAUUGUUUCGGUGGGGGAUGGGCUCGCGGCCUAUCAGCUUGUUGGUGGGGUGAUGGCCUACCAAGGCGGUGACGGGUAGCCGGCCUGAGAGGGUGGACGGUCACACUGGGACUGAGGCACGGCCCAGACUCCUACGGGAGGCAGCAGUGGGGAAUAUUGCACAAUGGGCGAAAGCCUGAUGCAGCGACGCCGCGUGAGGGAUGGAGGCCUUCGGGUUGUGAACCUCUUUCGCCAGUGAAGCAGGCCUGCCUCGUUUGUGGGUGGGUUGACGGUAGCUGGAUAAGAAGCGCCGGCUAACUACGUG
rnacentral:rRNA from 1 species